rnacentral:rRNA from 1 species
UUUUAUAGUCGAACAGACUAGCUCACUUAACUGCUACACCAAGUAGCGCCUUUAAUUCAACAUCGAGGUCACAAGAUCUUUUAUCAAUUAGGCCUCUCUAAAAGCAUUGUGCUGUUAUCCCUGAGGUAACUACUCUUUAACUUGUCUAAGAUCGUAGCCCGACUACGCGAUUGAGGUACAAAUUAGAUGUGUUAGUUUACCGCCCCAGUUUGACACAACAUAAACAAAGACCCAAAUUGGUUGGGCCUAAGCCACUCCUAGAUCAGCUCUGCAGGGUCUUAUCUUCCCAUUGAUUGAGGUUGAAGUUUUAAUCAAAACCUUAAGUUCUAGCCUUAUGGGCUUACAAGUCGUCUUUCAUGAACCCCUUCAUUCUAGACCCCAAUUAAAAGCCAAAUUAUUAUGCUACCUUUGCACAGUUAAGG